rnacentral:lncRNA from 1 species
UGUUGAGCACCUUUAAGAUUGACGGAGUUAGUUGCAGCUCGAGAGAGUCUCUCGGGAGACUGGACGUAACCACACGUUGUGGCGAACCAGUAUAAAUCUGGUGUGUUCCCUCCUUACUCUUUUAUUUCCGCAUUUACUUCGAUUUUAUUUCUGCGAUUUUUGUUAAACGCUAUUCACCCCCCCCCUCUAGCGUUGGGCACUUAUUCUAACAAUUGGUAUCAGAGCCAUACUCUUU